UGUAUGUAUAUAUGUAUACACACUAUAUAAUAUAUACAUGUAUAUAGAGAGAUCUCUUUCACAUAUUAACAUAUUCAUAUAUAUG
rnacentral:miRNA from 1 species